UCGAUGAAAAACGCAGCUAGCUGCGUUAUUUACCACGAAUUGCAGACGCUUAGAGUGGUGAAAUUUUGAACGCAUAGCGCCGUUGGGUUUUCCCUUCGGCACGUCUGGUUCAGGGUUGUU
rnacentral:rRNA from 1 species